AGCUUCUUCCUUCAUUCAUCUUCUCGAUCAAUCAUCGCCGCCUCAUAAAAUAUCACCUUAUAAUCAUCGCCACAUCAAAUAUCACCUUAUAAUCGUUGCAAGUAUCAUAAUCUAAGGUAUGAAGAUGUUGAUCGACAACUCCAGAAAUGAUGGUUGUGGUUCGACUAGGAAGAAGAUGUUGACGGUGAUUCGAUUAGGGUUUUUUUUAUUGCUCGUGUUGAUUUGAACGCAGAAGAAGAAUGAAGAUGUGGUGGGGCGACGGUUGGAUAUGGAUUGUUUUAUUAGGGUUUUGCGUGAAGUUGAGGAAGAAGAAAGGUGACAGUUGGAAUGAAGAUGUGUUAAGGGUGUCGGCUGAUACAAAAGCUUUGGGGUUAAGAAUGAUUUUUAAGAUCUGGGUACAAAACCUGAGGCGAUUGACUAAUUUAGGGUUCGAUUAGGGUCUCUCAGUACACAGCCAUCCAUCCUUAAUGUUUAUUUGAUUCUUCUUUUUUAAUUAAGAUGAUUUCCGGCUGUUAUGGAAGAUGUUGAUAAAAAUUGAAAUUAGUAUGUAGCUGAUGAAUAUGAAAUGGAAGAUAUAGAUUCGGGUCAGAGAUAUUGCUUCAGAUAGUUUGUGGUGAAUAUGGUUUCAUAGUUUGUUUUGACUCGCUUGGCAUUUAUACAUAUGAUAUUGAAAUAAUGUUGUGUUACAUUAAGUUGUCUUAGAUAUUUAUUACAUUGACUAAUACUUUCAAAUCUACUACCGAGUAAUUUUUACACUUUAUUGAUGAUUGUAUGUUCCACGGAUGGAGAAGCUUCCUGAAUGGACUGGACUGAUAUAGUGAAUAUUGGUACCUUUAAGAAACAUGUUCCCUAUGAUCUUGACUAGUAUUACAUAUAAAGCUGUUUUCAUCGCUAGGAAAAUAUACUUAAGGGGUGGUCUUGGGGUUCGUGCCUUGAUCCAGACAAAACCAUUUGCCACAUUGCUCAACAAUUGGAAACAAUGAAAAUCAUUGAUGUGGAUCCCAAGUGG